rnacentral:rRNA from 1 species
AUCGUUAAUACACGCUAAAUUUAACUUUAAUUCAAAAUAUAUAUACCGCCAUCUUAAGAAUUAAUUUCACAAUAUUUCUCCAAAACACUUUUANNAAGUUAGGUCAAGGUGUAAUCAACAUUAAAGAAUAGAUGAAUUACAUUAAAUACAAUUUAAAGACUUUAGAUAAACUUAUCUAAAUAAAUUAGGAUUUAAAAGCAAUAUUCAAAUAAUAUUUAAAUAUGAUAUAGACAAAAAAUGUGCACACAUCGCCC